GGUGAAGCAGAGCUUGCUCUGUGGAUCAGUGGCGAACGGGUGAGUAACACGUGAGCAAUCUGCCCCUGACUCUGGGAUAAGCGCUGGAAACGGCGUCUAAUACCGGAUACGAGCUGCGACCGCAUGGUCAGUAGCUGGAAAGAAUUUCGGUCAGGGAUGAGCUCGCGGCCUAUCAGCUUGUUGGUGAGGUAAUGGCUCACCAAGGCGUCGACGGGUAGCCGGCCUGAGAGGGUGACCGGCCACACUGGGACUGAGACACGGCCCAGACUCCUACGGGAGGCAGCAGUGGGGAAUAUUGCACAAUGGGCGCAAGCCUGAUGCAGCAACGCCGCGUGAGGGAUGACGGCCUUCGGGUUGUAAACCUCUUUUAGCAGGGAAGAAGCGAAAGUGACGGUACCUGCAGAAAAAGCGCCGGCUAACUACGUGCCAGCAGCCGCGGUAAUACGUAGGGCGCAAGCGUUAUCCGGAAUUAUUGGGCGUAAAGAGCUCGUAGGCGGUCUGUCGCGUCUGCUGUGAAAACCCGAGGCUCAACCUCGGGCCUGCAGUGGGUACGGGCAGACUAGAGUGCGGUAGGGGAGAUUGGAAUUCCUGGUGUAGCGGUGGAAUGCGCAGAUAUCAUGAGGAACACCGAUGGCGAAAGCAGAUCUCUGGGCCGUAACUGACGCUGAGGAGCGAAAGGGUGGGGAGCAAACAGGCUUAGAUACCCUGGUAGUCCACCCCGUAAACGUUGGGAACUAGUUGUGGGGUCCAUUCCACGGAUUCCGUGACGCAGCUAACGCAUUAAGUUCCCCG
rnacentral:rRNA from 1 species